UGGAAAGCACCUGAAUGGUUCUUUGUGCU
rnacentral:piRNA from 1 species